CUUGGUCAUUUAGAGGAAGUAAAAGUCGUAACAAGGUUUCCGUAGGUGAACCUGCGGAAGGAUCAUUAUUGAUUUUUAAAGAUGUGCUGGCACUCCUUCACCGGUUUGCAUGUGCACUCUGCAAAAUCUCCUUCUCUUACCCCACUGUGCACACCCAAGUAGAUAAACAGAGUUACAGAGCAAUCUGUGUAAUUCCUGAUUUGCCUAUGUUUUUAUCAAACACCAAUAACAAUAUCAGAAUGAUCUAUAUAGUAAGCUUUUAACAAGCUGAAAUUUAAUACAACUUUCAACAAUGGAUCUCUUGGUUCUCGCAUCGAUGAAGAACGCAGCGAAUUGCGAUAUGUAAUGUGAAUUGCAGAAUUCAGUGAAUCAUCGAAUCUUUGAACGCACCUUGCACCCUCUGGCAUUCCGGAGGGUAUGCCUGUUUGAGUGUCAUUAAUCUCUCAACACAAGAAACUUUGUCUUCUUGUGCUUGGAUAUUGAAGGUUUUGCUGGCGCAAACAACUGUCAGCUCCUUUUAAAUGUAUUAGCAGAGCAGUAUGGGACUGGCCUCGGUUUGAUAAGAAACUUUAUCUAUGCUGUCGCUGGGUUUUCCUCUUUGUGCUCAGCUUCAAAUUGUCUUCGGACUGUCUCUUGAGGCAACAAAAUCUCUAUUGAUCGACCUCAAAUCAGGUAGGACUACCCGCUGAACUUAAGCAUAUCAAUAAGCGGAGGA
rnacentral:rRNA from 1 species